GGUGAGCUUGUCAGGUGCCUGAUCGUCAUCCCCCGUCCUUGGCUGGUCGCUCUCUGCCCUGAUGACUGCCGCUCAGUGUAGGAAGGAGACAGCUCUGGCUGCACUCCCCAGAGUCAUCCAUGCUGGGAAGGAUGGAGGAGGGGUGGAAAGUUAGUGAGAGCCUGCAUGUGCUGCUGCAGAGAUGCCCAAGAUAGCAGGAGACCCAAUCUGUUUCCCAUUUAUAUAUUCUCAUUGCUGAUAGAUGAUGGACAUGCUUCAUUUAGGUUGGAAUGAAAUACAGAAACCUAAUCCUGAAACCUGGGGGAUCUCUGGACGGCAUGGACAUGCUCCACAAUUUCUUGAAACGUGAGCCAAACCAAAAAGCGUUCCUAAUGAGUAGAGGCCUGCAUGCUUCGUGAACUGGGGAUCUUUGGUAGCCGUCCAUGUCUGGAGGACAAGUCGACAUCACCAUGUGUUACUGGCCUGGAAACUGAAGGGAGUUUUGCAAGUGAAAAUUUAGAUUUCUAUUGACAUCCUUUUGUUUUCUAAUUUUAAAAAUUAUAAAGAUGUAAAUGGAAUUAUAAAUACUGUGAACUAAGAAAAGACCCACUAGAAAGUAAUUGUACUAUAAAAUUUCAUAAAACUGGAUUUGAUUUCUUUUUAUGAAAGUUUCAUAUGAAUGUAACUUGAUUUUUUACUAUUAUAAUCUAGAUAAUAUGAUAUAAGAGGGCUAAGAAUUUU
rnacentral:sRNA from 1 species